CUUCUUUGUAUCUCCUGAAGGCUGCGCCAAACCCGGAAGUGCAAGGCGUUUACGUCGAGGUCUUCAGAGUAUGACACUUAAUCAGGCAUCUUGGCGCUGGUCCCACAGUUGUUGUGCUCUGCUGGUACCUGAGCUCAAGGUCCGUUGUACCCCAUCAGGCAGAUGGGCCACAUUUCAGCAACACAAAUUGAAGCAGUGAGCUCGUCAUGCAGGAAUUCAUGAAGUCAGAGGACAAAGCAGCAAGGCUACAGGAGCUGAAAGUGAUAGUGACAUCCACCAUAAAAAAGUGAGGUACAUCUGCCUUGUCAAAGCUCUCAGCAGUCAGGUCUGCAAGGUAAAUCACUUUUUUUUCAUGACUGGAGUUGAACCAUACGGUUCUCCCUUUAAACACGUUUGGUUUGGUUUCAUCAAAGUUGUAAGAGCAACAGAGGAAUAGAAAACAUUGUCGCUGCACUAAACGCAUUUCAAAGUGAAAUACAACAGAGGUCAGUUCAAUUUUGCUCAAUUUUAUGUUCCAUACCAUUCAGUUUUUUUUUUUCAAGUGUGGAUUUUUAUGGUUAUAAUUUAUCAGCAGCUAAGCUGCUUUCAUUCACUAACAGAUGGAGAGAUGCUGCCAGAUCCCCAGGAGCAGACUUGGGCCAUGAAAUGAACUCAGCAUGAGAGCUACAUGGGCUGUGUUUCAAAGAAAGAAGGGAGGAAGAGAAGACCGAAAAGGGAUUCACAAACCACCACUUCCAACAUCUGCGGCUUCUGAGCUCCUUGCGAAUAAGGAGAGUCUGUUUCCUCUUUCUGGUACAGGUUUGAAGAUGAACCUAAGAACAUCUAUUAGUAAUACACCUGUAACACACAUGCACACAUUAUGGUGCACUCAGUCCCAGACUGGGAAAGCUUGACUGACAGAUGCACAUGUUCAUCUCUGACAUAAAUAUGAAAAGUUUCCACCCCCUGUGAGUCAAUGUAAUGUGAUGAGGCCUCUGCUUCAAAUUGAAGCCGAGUUUGGUUCACGCUGAUCUGACAUGACAGUAAAAAUAAUUUAUAAAAACUA